rnacentral:rRNA from 1 species
GAUGAACGCUGGCGGCGUGCCUAAUACAUGCAAGUCGAGCGAACGGACGAGAAGCUUGCUUCUCUGAUGUUAGCGGCGGACGGGUGAGUAACACGUGGAUAACCUACCUAUAAGACUGGGAUAACUUCGGGAAACCGUAGCUAAUACCGGAUAAUAUUUUGAACCCAUGGUUCAAAAGUGAAAGACGGUCUUGCUGUCACUUAUAGAUGGAUCCGCGCUGCAUUAGCUAGUUGGUAAGGUAACGGCUUACCAAGGCAACGAUGCAUAGCCGACCUGAGAGGGUGAUCGGCCACACUGGAACUGAGACACGGUCCAGACUCCUACGGGAGGCAGCAGUAGGGAAUCUUCCGCAAUGGGCGAAAGCCUGACGGAGCAACGCCGCGUGAGUGAUGAAGGUCUUCGGAUCGUAAAACUCUGUUAUUAGGGAAGAACAUAUGUGUAAGUAACUGUGCACAUCUUGACGGUACCUAAUCAGAAAGCCACGGCUAACUACGUG